GGUGAGUAUUAACACUAAUAAUUCACUUUGCUGUCUGCAGCCAAAAGGUAACGUCUGUAAUGACACAGAGAGUGCUAUUUUUCUAAACUCCUACAACUUAUUCUUAAAUAGGGAACACAUGGGGUGGGCGGCAGCACUGUAACAUGGCUGUGUAAUACAAAAAUAAAGCUGCUACCCAGGAUUAGUGGGAGUUUGAGCGCAGGGCUUCAUCUUAUAUGUUAGUGAUGG